UCAACCUAUAUUAGGAAUGUGGUC
rnacentral:siRNA from 1 species